UAUGGUUUAUUAGAUCGUGCGUUCUACGUGGAUAACUGUGGUAAUUCUAGAGCUAAUACAUGCAACUGGCCCUAACUUUACGGAGGGGCGCUUUUAUUAGAUCAAAAUCAAUCAGGUUUCGGCCUGUUUUUGUGAUGACUCUGGAUAACUUUGUGCCGACCGCAUGGCCUUGCGCCGGCGGCGUAUCUUUCAAAUGUCUGCCCUAUCAACUUUCGAUGGUAGGUGACAUGCCUACCAUGGUUGUAACGGGUAACGGAGAAUCAGGGUUCGAUUCUGGAGAGGGAGCCUGAGAAACGGCUACCACA
rnacentral:rRNA from 1 species